rnacentral:lncRNA from 1 species
CAUUUUAAAUUAUUAAUCUUCACCAUGUUAUUUCCAAGAACAAUCACGAUUGAUCUUUCAGUUACACAGCCACGGUGUGUGCCUCUCUGUGUAACUCUGCACAGCUGGUGAUUUACUGAAAGAACUUACUCUCAUAAAACCACAGCCAGCGAGUUCUCAGAGACACAAUAAUGCACCUUAAUUAUGAGUUUAAAAGCUCUUGUCUUGUGAAAUGUAAUCGAUCCACAGAAAAAUCAUAAAGUAUACAUGUAAUAGCUUAAUGACUUAUAAAUGAAGAUCUGUAUACUUCCCACUCGAAAAACGGAAUAUUGCAGGAUUUGAGUACACAACCCGUACCUUUCCAACGACAGCCUCCCUCCCACCAGAGCUUCUGCUGAGUUCACUUGAAAUCACUUCCUUGCAUUUAUUUAUACUUUUAUUACCUUGAGGUGCAUCCCUAACCAUUCUAGUUCGAUUUUGCCUGGUGUUUGAACUUUAUAUUAAUGGAAUCAUAGGACAUAAUUCUUAUAUCUCUGGUUUCUUUCAUUCAACUUUGUGUCUGCGAAAUGUAUCCAUGUUGCAUGCAACGGGGGCUCAUUCAUCGCUGGUUACUGAUUCACUGCAUGAGUAUGACACAGUUUAUUAACCAUUUCACUGCUGAUGAACAUUUGAUCAUUUCUAGUUUGGGAAUAUUAUUAAUAAUUUUUGAACCUUCUUAUUUGUGUGCCCUGAUGUACAUGGACAUGCAUUUUAGGGGUGUAUACUUAGGGAAAUUGCCGGUUCAUGAGUAACACCUAUCUUCAGGUAUUACUUUUUGUGCCCUUUUAUGCUGAACUACAAUUUACGUGCAAUACCAAUCAUUCAUAUUAAGUGUACAACUCAGUGAGUUUAGACAACUGGACACCUUGUUGUGAGUCACCACCACCGAGAUGAUCCAGCACUGUCCCAACUCCCCCCAAGUUCUCCUUUGCAGGCACCCUCUCCCUCCAUUCUGGGCACAGGCAACCAUGAACCACUAUCUGUCACCGUAGCUUUAGUAUAAAAUUUCACAUACAUGGACUCAGGGAGCAUAGAGUCUUUCCUGUCUGGCUUCUUUCCGCUGGCAAAAUGCUUGGAGACUUUUCCACGUUGCUGCAUGAAUCAAUGGAUCAUUUGUUUUCGUGGCUGAGCAGAAUUCCACCAACAUUUGUUUACUCAUCCAUGAAAUGAUGGACAUUUGGUGUUUUUCCAUUGAGAUUGUUAUGAAUAAUGCUGCUAUUGUCAUUCAAGGACAAGUCUUCUGUGAACAUCUGUUUUCACUUCUCUUGGGUACAUCCUUAGAAGUGGUAUUGCUGGACUGUAUCAAAAGUUAAUAUUUAACUUUCAGGAAACUUACAAACUGUUUUCCAGAGUGGCUGUACCAUUUUGCAUUCCCAGACCGAAGUGUGAAAGCUCCAGAUGCCCCACGCCCUCACCAGCCCACGGUGUUGUCAGCCUUAAUAGUGCUGACCAUUCUGCCUGUUAAUAUGAUGAAUUACACUGAUUCAGUUUCAAAUGUCCAACCAAGCUUGCACUCCAGAGAUGAAGCCCACUUGAUCACAUGGAUUAUUCUUUUAAUAUAUGAUGGAUACGACUUGGCUGUUCUUUUGUUGAGGAUUUUUGUGUUUAUGUUAAUGAGGAUAUUAUUUGUAGUUUUCUUUUCUUGUAAUGUUUUUGUCUUUGUUCAGUGUCAGAGUAAUGCCAACUUCAU